rnacentral:rRNA from 1 species
UACGGGGGGAGCAAGCGUUGUUCGGAUUUACUGGGCGUAAAGGGCGCGUAGGCGGCGUGACAAGUCACUUGUGAAAUCUCCGGGCUUAACUCGGAACGGUCAAGUGAUACUGUCGUGCUAGAGUACAGAAGGGGCAACUGGAAUUCUCGGUGUAGCGGUGAAAUGCGUAGAUAUCGAGAGGAACACCUGCGGCGAAGGCGGCUCUCUGGGACGGUACUGACGCUGAGACGCGAAAGCGUGGGGAGCGAACAGGG